rnacentral:lncRNA from 1 species
UACAAUUGUGCGUUUUUUGUCCUUCCAUGAGGCCAUUGAGGGAGGGUCGCACACAUGUCUUCCGACCUGGCCCCAUUGAAAGGGCCAAGGGCGGUGACUGGAGUCGGUUCAGUAUUCCGUUUGACUACAUACAGCAAAGUCGUCUGUCUAAGGAUCCUGUGGUCCGUCGGGAGGCCGCAUCCAUGGUAAAAUCCCUGUGGAAGGAGAGUGGGAAGUUGCCGACCGCAGGGCUCCCGGGGGGAUUUUUGCUCAAGACUUGUUAGAGAACUUGUCAUGUACACUUUGGGGUUCACUUUAAUUAAGAACUGUGUUCCAGCCAGCCGGGGAAGAAGAUAAAUUGAGAAGUUCGCAACUGAACACAAACUCCGUGGUUUAGGUGUUUCCUCUAAAAGAGCCCAUUUGGAAGUACUUUGGGAUUGAUUCAGGGCCGCUGAGAUUCGAACCCUUUACCUUUCCAGUGAAUAGGGUUACUAGGGUGAAGGCGUUGAAAGGGAAUCGUAACAAACCACCACCGUAAGGGUUGGAUAGUUGAGGGGGCUCAAGGCGGCACAACACUCAUAAAGUACAUUCCCAACCCCCACGAGAUACAUUUUUGGUAUAGAACAUAUUACUACUGGACGUGAAAUGUAAAUCAGCGUAAUAACUGUACAAAGAAAAAAAGUCGGAACUGGAGUGGUUGGAUUUUUAAGUGAGAUCGGCAAAGGGGUGCCAACCAUUCUUUUGAUGUCCUAAUGGCACUUGUUAAACGGUGUGAAUUUCAGCCAGUAUGCAGGUUAUUAAGCGCCGGUAGCAUAAACGCCAGAAAACAUUUCUUUUCAGAUUUAUCGCCCAUUUGAAUUCCGUUCACCAACCAUUAAUGUCCAAGUUGGAACACGUUUCGUUUCUUCUUAACGCCUUUGAAGUAAACAUGCGGAAAUGAGAAUGAAUACUCUGCCCUAUUGGUAUGUCUUGCGUUCUGCAUGAUGAUGAGCCUGAAGUUGGUGGUUUCAGAUCAUUUUGGGCUUUAUUUUUCCUAUUUUGCUCUAUUACUCUUUUAAAAAUAAUGCACAUGUGCAGUCUCUAAAAUAAUAGUUUACCUAAUUAAAAGGAAAAUGAUAUCACAUGUUUGUAUAAGUAUAUUGUGUAUAUGAAAGUAUGUCGCACAA